CAGUCGCCGCGGUAACACGUAGGGUGCAAGCGUUAAUCGGAAUUACUGGGCGUAAAGCGUGCGCAGGCGGUCCGCUAAGACAGAUGUGAAAUCCCCGGGCUUAACCUGGGAACUGCAUUUGUGACUGGCGGGCUAGAGUAUGGCAGAGGGGGGUAGAAUUCCACGUGUAGCAGUGAAAUGCGUAGAUAUGUGGAGGAAUACCGAUGGCGAAGGCAGCCCCCUGGGAUAGCACUGACGCUCAUGCACGAAAGCGUGGGGAGCAAACAGGAUUAGAUACCCCUGUAGUCCUGUCUCUUAUACA
rnacentral:rRNA from 1 species